rnacentral:rRNA from 1 species
ACUCAAAUGAAUUGACGGGGGCCCGCACAAGCAGUGGAGCAUGUGGUUCAAUUCGAUGCAACGCGAAGAACCUUACCUGGGCUUGAAACGCAGAUUAAGGGGAAUGAAAGUUCCCGUGCCGCAAGGCGAAUCUGUACAGGUGCUGCAUGGCUGUCGUCAGCUCGUGCCGUGAGGUGUUGGGUUAAGUCCCGCAACGAGCGCAACCCUUGUUUCUAGUUGCUACCGGAUAAUGCCGGGCACUCUAGAAAGACUGCCUACGCAAGUAGUGAGGAAGGUGGGGAUGACGUCAAGUCCGCAUGGCCCUUACGCCCAGGGCCACACACGUGCUACAAUGGCUACUACAAAGAGCAGCUAAACCGCGAGGUCAUGCCAAUCUCUAAAAAGUAGUCUCAGUUCGGAUUGGAGUCUGAAACUCGACUCCAUGAAGCUGGAAUUGCUAGUAAUCGUGGAUCAGCACGCCACGGUGAAUACGUUCCCGGGCCUUGUACACACCGCCCGU